rnacentral:misc_RNA from 1 species
GAUGAAGAACGUAGCGAAAUGCGAUAAGUAAUGUGAAUUGCAGAAUUCAGUGAAUCAUCGAAUCUUUGAACGCACCUUGCGCUCCUUGGUAUUCCGAGGAGCAUGCCUGUUUGAGUGUCAUGAAAUUCUCAACCUUUUCAGCUUUCUUUGUUGAUCAGGCUUGGAUGUGGGAGUAUGCGGGCUUCUCAGAAGUCGGCUCUCCUGAAAUGCAUUAGCGGGACCUUUGUUGCCUGGCUUUGGUGUGAUAAUUAUCUACGCCAUUGUGGUCAAGCAGCUUAAAAUGAGGUUUCAGCUUCUAACCGUCUCCCCUGAGACAACUUUUUGACAAUUUGACCUCAAAUCAGGUAGGACUACCCGCUGAACUUAAGCAUAUCAUAAGCGGAGGA